UCUGGUUGAUCCUGCCUGAACUGAUGUGUUCAUUUCAAAGAUUAAGCCAUGCAUGUAUAAGUUUAAUCGUUUAUCGAGAAACCGCGAACGGCUCAUUACAAUGGCCAUGAUUUACUUGAUCUUGAUUAUCUAAUGGAUAACUGUGGAAAAGCUAGAGCUAAUACAUGCACUAAAGCUUUGUCCUUACGGAAAAGCGCAUUUAUUAGAACAAAACCACGCGGCUUCGGCUGCUUCUUGUUGACUCAGAAUAACUAAGCUGACCGCAUGGCCUAGUGCCGGCGGCGUGUCUUUCAAGCGUCCACUUUAUCAACUUGACGGGAGCAUAAUCGACUCCCGUGGUGGUGACGGAUAACGGAGGAUCAGGGUUCGACUCCGGAGAAGGGGCCUGAGAAAUGGCCACUACGUCUAAGGAUGGCAGCAGGCGCGCAAAUUACCCACUCUCGGCUCGAGGAGGUAGUGACGAGAAAUAACGAGACUGUUCUCUUUGAGGCCGGUCAUCGGAAUGGGUACAAUUUAAACCCUUUAACGAGUAUCAAGCAGAGGGCAAGUCUGGUGCCAGCAGCCGCGGUAAUUCCAGCUCUGCAAAUACAUAGAAUUAUUGCUGCGGUUAGAAAGCUCAUAGUUGGAUUCGUAUCGAUACCUUGGAACCCUUCGGGUGUCUCUAGGUGUUAUCGAUUUAUCGUAAUGUUCGGUUUUGAGUCCUUAACAGGAUUCUUAACAGGCAUUGCAAGUUUACUUUGAACAAAUCAGAGUGCUUCAAACAGGCGUUUUCGCUUGAAUGAUCGUGCAUGGAAUAAUAGAAAAUGAUUUCGGUUCAGUUUUAUUGGUUUUACGGACUGAGAUAAUGGUUAACAGAGACAAACGGGGGCAUUUGUAUGGUCCCGUGAGAGGUGAAAUUCUUGGACCGUGGCCAGACAAACUACAGCGAAAGCAUUUGCCAAGAAUGUUUUUAUUAAUCAAGAACGAAAGUCAGAGGUUCGAAGGCGAUCAGAUACCGCCCUAGUUCUGACCGUAAACGAUGCCAACUAGCGAUCCGCCGAUGGAAAUUAUAUUGCCUUGGUGGGGAGCUUCCCGGAAACGAAAGUCUUCCGGUUCCGGGGGAAGUAUGGUUGCAAAGCUGAAACUUAAAGGAAUUGACGGAAGGGCACCACCAGGAGUGGAGCCUGCGGCUUAAUUUGACUCAACACGGGGAAACUCACCCGGCCCGGACACUGUGAGGAUUGACAGAUUGAUAGCUUUUUCAUGAUUCAGUGGAUGGUGGUGCAUGGCCGUUCUUAGUUCGUGGAGUGAUUUGUCUGGUUUAUUCCGAUAACGAGCGAGACUCUAACCUACUAAAUAGUUGGUACAUACUCUUAGUGUAUACAGCUUCUUAGAGGGAUUUGCGGCGUUCAGCCGAAAGAAAUUGAGCAAUAACAGGUCUGUGAUGCCCUUAGAUGUCCGGGGCUGCACGCGCGCUACACUGGCAAAAUCAACGUGCUUGUCCUACCCUGAAAGGGGCGGGUAAACCAUUGAAAAUUUGCCGUGAUUGGGAUCGGAAAUUGCAAUUAUUUUCCGUGAACGAGGAAUUCCAAGUAAGUGCGAGUCAUCAGCUCGCGUUGAUUACGUCCCUGCCCUUUGUACACACCGCCCGUCGCUGCCCGGGACUGAGCCAUUUCGAGAAAUUUGGGGACCGUUGAUUUAAUUUUUCUAAAUUACUUUGAUGGAAACCAAUUUAAUCGCAGUGGCUUGAACCGGGCAAAAGUCGUAACAAGGUAGCUGUAGGUGAACCUGCUGCUG
rnacentral:rRNA from 1 species